CUGUGUCCAUGAUAACGGUAUGUCUGCAACUCCAUCACAAUGGGCCCCUUUCCGGAUCUGCAGUGAUCAGCUGCAAACUUGGUCGCCUCACGAACACUGAGAAUAUCCAUCCCAUUCACCCUCAGUCCAGGGAUAACAAAGCCUUUCUUGUGGUAAUCAGUACUGGCUGCUGAUCUCUCAAUAGCUGUUCCCAUUCCAUAGCGGUUAUUCUCACAGAUGAAAACACAGGGUAAUUUCCACAAGGCUGACAUAUUGUAAGCUUCAAAUACCUGCCCUUGGUUAGCCGCACCAUCGCCAUACAAAGCCAAGCAGAUCUGACCAUUCUUCAGGUGACAGAAACCACGGAUGAAUUUCUGCUUAUACAGCUGGUCGGCCUUCAACUCCAUGCGCCGAAUUACCUGCAUGUUCCGGUGGCGUCGUUGGAGAACUUAAGAGAUGACAGCAGUCCCCUGAGAGCUGGCUUCUGGACCAUUCCUGAAAAUACUUGAGACAGCACAGUGGCCAGCAUUUUCCUCAUGGAGAAACGUGAGGCACAACCGUAGCGGCUUCCAACGACCACCCAGCGACUUUCAAAAUGGCGGCCGAGCUCCUCUGACGCAACAAUAGCGCGACACAAACCCGUUGUCUAUGUCAGCAAGUCAGAAGCCACGCCCACUAGGCCUGCUCCUCCCAUCCUUCCAACCCUAAAGUGAGGAUCUCUAGCAUUUUCAUCCCAUCAGUACUUGCCACCCACAGCAACCGAGUGUCUUUUCCCUGUACAACUCAGUAAAAGUCCUGGCAGGAUGAGGACAUAGCCUACCGUACUUAGCCUUUGGGUCCAUCCCAGCACAUCUAAACUAUAAACCUGUAAUAUCAAACAGUAGGCAUGAAGAUAUGUGGGAACCGGACUUUAAUCCUGUUCUCAACCAGUUUGGGGCCUCUUUGGGCUCAAAAGGAG
rnacentral:lncRNA from 1 species